rnacentral:rRNA from 1 species
UACAGAGGUCUCAAGCGUUGUUCGGAUUCAUUGGGCGUAAAGGGUGCGUAGGUGGCGCGGUAAGUCGGGUGUGAAAUUUCGGAGCUCAACUCCGAAACUGCAUUCGAUACUGCCGUGCUUGAGGACUGGAGAGGAGACUGGAAUUUACGGUGUAGCAGUGAAAUGCGUAGAGAUCGUAAGGAAGACCAGUGGCGAAGGCGGGUCUCUGGACAGAAACUGACGCUGAUGCGCGAAAGCUAGGGGAGCAAACAGG